ACCCAGGUGGUCCAAUGGUUAGGGCGAUUCCCCCUUUGCUGGCGUUAGCCGGUAAGAUUGGGAAAGAUCAGGGUUCAAGUCCCUGCCUGGGCA